CCAAGUUGUGAUCAGAAUGAUCAAUGCCACUACUCGCUUUGUGAUAAAUGUGAAUACCACACUGACUACAACCCUCCUCAACUUAAAUGUAUACAACAGUGACACCACUGUCACCCAGAUGAUGUUCAUCAUUUAUGUUGCCGAGAUUUCAAAUGUAUAGAGCAGGCCUUUGGAUCUAUUUAUUGGAUGAUUUCAACAACUCUGCCUUUGUCACAUCAAGUUCCCACACUAUCAACUGCAGGAACUAGUACAACGGCGAUUAAGGUUCCUACACUACAAACUAAAUGAAGUAGUACAACCUCGGUACAGACAACCAGAGAAUUGGAUAUGGUGGAAUACCCAAUCUGUAGGAAUGGGCAGUGUGACUUCAAAAACAACAUCAAAUUUAUUGCGUGCAAAAUAUCAUUCGAUUCAAAGAAUGUAUCGAUAAUGCCAAUAAC